rnacentral:rRNA from 1 species
GAGGAAAGCUGGCGGCGUGCCUAAUACAUGCAAGUCGAGCGAACAGACGAGGAGCUUGCUCCUCUGACGUUAGCGGCGGACGGGUGAGUAACACGUGGCUAACCUACCUAUAAGACUGGGAUAACUUCGGGAAACCGGAGCUAAUACCGGAUAAUAUAUUGAACCGCAUGGUUCAAUAGUGAAAGACGGUUUUGCUGUCACUUAUAGAUGGAUCCGCGCCGCAUUAGCUAGUUGGUAAGGUAACGGCUUACCAAGGCAACGAUGCGUAGCCGACCUGAGAGGAUGAUCGGCCACACUGGAACUGAAACACGGUCCAGACUCCUACGGGAGGCAGCAGUAGGGAAUCUUCCGCAAUGGGCGAAAGCUUGACGGAGCAACGCCGCGUGAGUGAUGAAGGUCUUCGGAUCGUAAAACUCUGUUAUUAGGGAAGAACAAAUGUGUAAGUAACUAUGCACGUCUUGACGGUACCUAAUCAGAAAGCCACGGCUAACUACGUG